CCCGGCCAGGGAUGCAUCAUGCCGGCCUCUGCGACCAGCCACCGGAGGCCCAGGGGACAGCUUCAGGUGGUCAUCACUUUCAAUGGUGCGAAUGGACCGGAUAGGGGUUGCAGGCACACCCACGAGGCCAACACCAGCCUGGACCCAAUCACACAACAUUGGGCGGUUCACACCAUGGACCCCCAGUGACUCAAAGGAGGAGCAACAGGUCCUAGAAGGAGGUCACAGAAAGCGUCUGAAGACCGGGAUUCUUGUUGAAGCUCCACCAGUCCUCAACAUUCUCAUCAGUGAAAUGGGCAUAAACAUGUUGGGUCAUUCCCAAGCUUGGGCAAGGUCACACACGCGGACGUUCUCUGCGUUUGGUAUUGCAUAAGGGGAGCAUGAUCCUUGCUAGACAGUGCUGGCCUCAGUCCACGGGAUGUUCUGCAGUGCUUCCUCCCUCGGAUGAAUCUUAGUGUGUCAAGGGUCAGGCUCUACGAUCCCACUGUGAAAAGCUGCCAUGAUCUUCUUUGGGCUGUAGCUCCCCACCAACUUCAGGGACCUUAUCUGGCACAGGGGAGUCUCCAGAGCUCACCUGAGUCCAUGGCACUGUCCCACAUUCUGCAAAAGUAAACACUGCCCAGCCGAGGUGGCUCCCUGAAUGGUUUCUGGGUGAAUCAAUGAGACAGUUUACACAUCCUGUUAAGUAAUCAUCCUCUCUCCUGGGGGUCCCCCUCUUUCCAGGAUGUGAUCUAUAGAAUGCCUGCUGUCUCUGUAUGUGUCCUAAUCCAGCAUCAUUGCCUGGGUUGCGCAAAUAGCCCGUGAGGAGUGCAAACAAAGGCCAGCUGCUGAGGUAGGCGCUUCCAGUGAAUGAUGACGUAGGGCCCAGUGCACAUAGGACAUGGGUUCCUGAAACUCCCACUGGUGGUCCUGGCCCACGUUCUCCAAGGGCCAGCUCUCCUUAUGUUAUUUGGGUCUCAAAGUGCCAGUCCAGGGGAAAGACAGACGCUGCCUCCGAACCUACCAAGUCAAGUCAUUUCCAGGAUGAGACACCUCCUUCCUUGCAGUUUAGGGGUGCAGUACUUUGAAGGCAGCUCAAGUCUUAGGGCCUCGAAGGGUAAUUCAUGAGCAGCUGGAUCCAGCAAACAUUCCACUAAACACCCACUGUAUGCUCAUGAGAGGUCCUUUUACCCUGUCAUGAAAUUACAGUGUUUUAUGGUCAGAAGGGACUUGUAUGGUCAUCUAGUCCAACCCUGCCUUCCCAGCCUAUGCUUGAAUAAUUGCUCCAGAGGUUCGGCCGGACAGUGGAUCAACCCCUGCUUUGUUAAAUCCUUCAGUGCCAAGGAACUCACUACCUUACAAAGUGGUCAGUACUGUCUUACAGCACCUUACACUGAUAGAUUUUCUUACUACAAGGAUUUUAGUAAAUCCUUAGCAAAUCAUCCAGGAUUUAGUAAAUCACCCCGGAAGCUCUGAUUCGUCUUGCACUGACUCUAUGGAGCCAUGGGGCCCUCAUCCACCUGCCAGCCCUCCGGGUGUUUAAGCACAAACCUGUUGGCUGCUACUUUUCCUUCUCAUGAUUUCUCUCUAAUACUUGUUAUUGUCUAUUUUUUUAAAUUAUAACCAU